CCUACGGGUGGCAGCAGUGGGGAAUAUUGCACAAUGGGGGAAACCCUGAUGCAGCGACGCCGCGUGAGCGAUGAAGUAUUUCGGUAUGUAAAGCUCUAUCAGCAGGGAAGAAAAUGAUGGUACCUGACUAAGAAGCCCAGGCUAACUACGUGCCAGCAGCCGCGGUAAUACGUAGGGGGCAAGGGUUAUCCGGAUUUACUGGGUGUAAAGGGAGCGUAGACGGCUGGGCAAGUCAGAUGUGAAAGCCCGGGGCUCAACCCCGGGACUGCAUUUGGAACUGGGUGGCUGGAGUGUCGGAGAGGCAGGUGGAAUUCCUGGUGUAGCGGUGAAAUGCGUAGAGAUUAGGAGGAACACCAGUGGCGAAGGCGGCCUGCUGGACGAUGACUGACGUUGAGGCUCGAAAGCGUGGGGAGCAAACAGGAUUAGAUACCCGAGUAGUC
rnacentral:rRNA from 1 species